rnacentral:rRNA from 1 species
UCCUCGGGUUCCCUAGUACGGCGAGUGAGCGGGAAGAGCUCAAAUUUGAAAUCUGGUAGCCUUCGGCUGCCCGAGUUGUAAUCUAGAGAAGUGUUUUCCGUGCCGGCCCAUGUACAAGUCCCUUGGAACAGGGCGUCAUAGAGGGUGAGAAUCCCGUCCUUGACAUGGACCCCCGGUGCUUUGUGAUACACUUUCAACGAGUCGAGUUGUUUGGGAAUGCAGCUCAAAAUGGGUGGUGAAUUCCAUCUAAAGCUAAAUAUUGGCGAGAGACCGAUAGCGAACAAGUACCGUGAGGGAAAGAUGAAAAGCACUUUGGAAAGAGAGUUAAACAGUACGUGAAAUUGUUGAAAGGGAAACGAUUGAAGUCAGUCAUGCUCUUUGGAUUCAGCCGUUCUGCGGUGUAUUUCCAUUGAGUGGGGUCAACAUCAGUUUUGACCGCUGGAUAAAGGCACUAGGAAGGUAGCACUCUCGGGUGAACUUAUAGCCUAGCGUCAUAUACAGUGGUUGGGACUGAGGAACGCAGCAUGCCUUUAUGGCCGGGAUUCGUCCACGUACAUGCUUAGGAUGUUGACAUAAUGGCUUUAAACGACCCGUCUUGAAAACACGGGACACCAA